rnacentral:rRNA from 1 species
GUGGGGAAUCUUGCGCAAUGGGCGAAAGCCUGACGCAGCCAUGCCGCGUGAAUGAUGAAGGUCUUAGGAUUGUAAAAUUCUUUCACCGGGGACGAUAAUGACGGUACCCGGAGAAGAAGCCCCGGCUAACUUCGUGCCAGCAGCCGCGGUAAUACGAAGGGGGCUAGCGUUGCUCGGAAUUACUGGGCGUAAAGGGCGCGUAGGCGGACAGUUUAGUCAGAGGUGAAAGCCCAGGGCUCAACCUUGGAAUUGCCUUUGAUACUGGCUGUCUAGAGUACGGGAGAGGUGAGUGAAACUCCGAGUGUAGAGGUGAAAUUCGUAGAUAUUCGGAAGAACACCAGUGGAGAAGGCGACUCACUGGCCCGUUACUGACGCUGAGGUGCGAAAGCGUGGGGAGCAAACAGGAUUAGAUACCCUAGUAGUCC